UACGGAGGGGGCUAGCGUUGUUCGGAAUUACUGGGCGUAAAGCGCACGUAGGCGGCUUUGUAAGUUAGAGGUGAAAGCCCGGGGCUCAACUCCGGAAUUGCCUUUAAGACUGCAUCGCUAGAAUUGUGGAGAGGAUGGUGGAAUUCCCAGUGUAGAGGUGAAAUUCGUAGAUAUUGGGAAGAACACCGGUGGCGAAGGCGGCCAUCUGGACCGUAUCUGACGCUGAGGCGCGAAAGCGUGGGGAGCAAACAGG
rnacentral:rRNA from 1 species